rnacentral:lncRNA from 1 species
GACUCGAGGGAGAACAGAUGAAGAAAAGAAUGUGCAGGUGUGCACAUGACCCAAAGGGAAGAAGGUGGAGAUAGGAGGCAGCCAUUUGUUCAGCCAUCCCAGAUUGAGUUCUUUCUCUGGACCAAACACUUAGGACAAAGCUACAAUGUUUGAGAAUCUCAGUCAAGUGGGAGCAGACCAAGAAGAACACAGGGAAUCCCAGUUUGGAAGAUAGAUUAUAUGCUCUCCCCAGGUCAUAGUCAGAAGAACAGACCCAUAUCCCAGGAGACAGAGGCAGGUGGCACGCUGUGUAAACCGUGAAAAGCAUUAUGAAAAUAUCUGCAAAUCGUGUGCUGUCUCCAAAUAUUUCAACAUAAAUAUUUGCUGGAGGCAGGUCCAACUUCCCAGCGCAAGAGGAGGACAGAAGGUGAGUUGGAUGUGGGAGCAAAUGGUUCAGUCUGUCCCUUUUAGAGCCGCACCCAUGGCACAUAUAAGUUCCCAGGCUAGGGGUAGAAUUGGAGGUACAGCGGCCAGUGUAUACCAUAGCCAUGGCAACUCCAAAUCUAAGCUGAGUCUGCAGCCUAUACCACUGCUCACAGCAACGCCAGAUCUUUGACCACUGAGAGAGGCCAGGGAUUGAACCUGAGUCCUCAUAGAUACUAGUCAGAUUCAUUUCUACUGCGCCACCAUGGGAACUCCCGACUUCUAAGCGCUUGGCUCCAUGCUGGGUGCUUUCCACGAGUUGUUUCUCAUCACCAC